rnacentral:rRNA from 1 species
AUACGGAGGAUCCGAGCGUUAUCCGGAUUUAUUGGGUUUAAAGGGUGCGCAGGCGGCCAUUUAAGUCAGCGGUUAAAUCGUGGGGCUCAACCCCAUUCUGCCGUUGAUACUGGGUGGCUUGAUUGCGGUCGAGGUUGGCGGAAUUCGUUGUGUAGCGGGGAAAUGCAUAGAUAUGACGAAGAACACCGAUUGCGUAGGCAGCUGACCAGAUCGCAAAUGACGCUCAUGCACGAAAGUGCGGGGAUCGAACAGGAUUAGAUACCCUGGUAGUCCGCACAGUAAACGAUGAAUACUUGUUUUCGGCGAUAUAAUGUCGGAGGCAAAGCGAAAGCGAUAAGUAUUCCACCUGGGGAGUACGCCGGCAACGGUGAAACUCAAAGGAAUGGACGGGG